rnacentral:snRNA from 1 species
AUGCCCCUACGUACCGGUAAGUCUUAAAGCUAGUAUCUGUUCUUAUCAGUUUAAUAUUUGAUAUGUGAGCCACCGACCCACACGAUAUUAACUCAAUUUUUUACGGAAAAGAGUCCAUUAAGGUAGCUUGCUACCUGGGCUCUCAAACAUAACCUAUGUGAUGCACUACAGUAUGGGCUUGGCACACCGC